rnacentral:lncRNA from 1 species
GGGCGUAAGGGAAGCCGGGGCUUGGGAGGGCAGGGCUUUCUCUGCUUGCGGACAUCGCGAAGGGCCUCUGGCAGGCGCCGCCGGGUGGCGGCGAGACGCCUCCGCGCCUCCGGGGUUCCUUGUUGGCUGUCGGAGGAGGACCGGCUGAGGGAUGGCCUGGUGGGGAGGGAGCCCUCGGGCAGUUAGCUGCGUCGGGCCUGGGGCAGUUGUGCUGCACUUGGAGACCUGCCCGCCUUCGGGGCCUGUGUGCACGGGGAGGAUAGGCUGUUUAUCUCUGCAGGCUCAGGAAGGCAGGUAGCUGGCCCGUCAGUCAUCCGCCCUGCAAAGCGCUCCCGAGAGACCCCGUAGAGCGGACCGGACGCGCGCUCGCCUUCGGGCCAGCGCGCGCCUGGCCUGAGGUUUCCCGCCCCCGGAGGCCCUCACAUCUCCCCGGUAACGCUUAGGAAUUCGGGCAGCCAGCUCGCCUACCCCUGGGGAAUCGAGGCAGAGCUUCUGGGAAUGGGGUCUGAGGGAAGAGUGCUCACCAGGCAGUGACAUGUAGCCGUUGAGGAUCGCCACUGCCGUCUCGUUCUGUGCAAGCUGCAGUGUGGUAAACUGCCUUUGAAAGAGACCCACAUGUCAAGAAACUGAGCAUCACCUGUGACCAACAGCCAGAAAGUAACUGAAGCCCCAAGACGAACAGCUUGUGCAAAACUAAAUUCUGCCUACAACAAGAGCAUGAAUCGAGACGCAGAUCCUUCCCUAGUUGAUCCUUGAAAUGCUUGCAGCUCUAUGGACACCUUGAUUGCAGCCUUGUGAGAAAUUCUGAACUAGAGGACCUCGUAUGCCUU